rnacentral:lncRNA from 1 species
AAAAGAGUAGUUAUUGUUGCAAACUCCAUUAGAAAUUUGAGUUGAUAUCAGUUUUGGAAAAAGGGAAACGGGGAUGUGAAAAAAAGGGGGGGGGUAAAUUUUUCUCAUUUCAGAUUUCAUAAAUAAAAGAAAUUUCUUCAAACAUUUUUUGAGAGGAUUAAUAUUCAACAGCAUAGUGAAUUGCUCAAAGGCAAAAAAAACCUUUUAAGUUCAUUAGACCACAUUCGUUCUGUGUCAGAAACCUAUGCUGUGUCAUGAUCAACUAUUUAAUUUUAGAUUUAAAAAGUUUGAAGAAGAAAUCUUUAAUUGAUUUGUAAAAUCUUGAAAUUUGUUUUGUGUAAAAAAAAAAAUAUGUAAUGUCAAAAAUUUGAUCACAAUCCAAAUUCAGAGCUGUAUCACGCUUGAAUGUUUUGUCCAUACUUGCCCCAACUGUUCAGGGUUCGACCUCUGCGGUCGUAUAAAGCUGCGCCCUGCGGAGCACCUGGUU